rnacentral:misc_RNA from 1 species
AUGUCAGUUUCACUGCCACCUUUGGCCUCCUGCAACUUCUCCUUUCCCUUAAGACUAACAUUACUACAUUCAGGAGCUUCAACCCUCAUUCCAUUAAAAUUCAGAUUCAAGGAACAAUCCUCACCUUGGUCAGGCAUUUUAAAAGAUCUUCCAUUUUCUGGUUCCACAUUACCCUCUUCCCAUAUGUCUUCAUCCUCGACACUUCUAGUUUUAGGCAGAGUACAACCAGAUUCUUCACAUUUUUUCUUCACUGAUUUGAGAUGAUUACGAAUAUCAAUAAAAUCCUUUAAUAUGGCGUCCCUGAAACUAGUGUCUG